rnacentral:misc_RNA from 1 species
AGCAUGUUAUGUGAAAGAUCCAUACUCUUGGUGGAGUGAUAUCGACCUUGUGACUUCCACAUCUGGCGUUUUAGUUCAUCAUUUGUAUAUAAAGAAUAAUCUUCAUGAGCAUUUUCAGCUUCUUUCUCAGCCAUUGGAAGAAAAUGAUCGAUGCACAGUGGAAUUGAUCCUGAUAAUGAAUUAAAAGACAAGUCCAAGUAAGUUAGGUGUCUCAAUUGGCAAAGCUGCACUGGUAUAUUUCCUUCGAAAGCAUUGUGAUGUAACGUAACCGUAUGUAGAUUCUCAGAACUUUCCCCCAACCAUGUCGGUAUG